rnacentral:tRNA from 1 species
GGAGAAUUAGCUCAGCUGGGAGAGCAUCUGCCUUACAAGCAGAGGGUCGACGGUUCGAACCCGUCAUUCUCCACCA